rnacentral:rRNA from 1 species
GGCCGCGGUAUUCUAACCGUGCAAAGGUAGCGUAAUCACUUGUCUUCUAAAUAGAGACCAGUAUGAACGGCUAAAUGAGGACAGAUCUGUCUCCUACAACUAAUCAGUGAAACUGAUCUUCCAGUACAAAAGCUGGAAUAUAUACAUUAGACGAGAAGACCCUGUGGAGCUUCAAACCAACUAUUAAAAAGCACACUACAGCACCUAAUACACGGUUUUAAGUUGGGGCGACUUCGGAAAAAAACAAAACUUCCAAGCACAGAACCACAAGUUCUAACAAUGGCCAACAAGCCAAGGUUUAAACUACAUCAGACCCAGUAUAACUGAUCAACGAACCAAGUUACCCCAGGGAUAACAGCGCUAUCUUCUUCAAGAGUCCAUAUCGACAAGAAGGUUUACGACCUCGAUGUUGGAUCAGGACACCCAAAUGGUGCAGCCGCUAUUAAUGGUUCGUUUGUUCAACGAUUAACAGUCCU